UACGGAGGGGGCGAGUGUUGUUCGGAAUUACUGGGCGUAAAGCGUGCGCAGGCGGUUGUGCAAGACAGAUGUGAAAUCCCCGGGCUUAACCUGGGAACUGCAUUUGUGACUGCACGGCUAGAGUGUGUCAGAGGGGGUAGAAUUCCACGUGUAGCAGUGAAAUGCGUAGAUAUCUGGAGGAACACCGGUGGCGAAGGCGGCAUCCUGGACCGACACUGACGCUGAGGAGCGAAAGCCAGGGGAGCAAACGGG
rnacentral:rRNA from 1 species